GUUUCGUACUUACGGCGAGUUCAUUGAUGGCGAUAAUGGUUUAACCUAUGAUGGCUUGUUGCGUACUUACGAUGACGGGGCUGGUGACGUCGACCGUGACUUUGAUGCGCUUGAACUCGAGCUCAAUUUGGACGAUAAUAAAGGGAUCUCGAUCGAAUCUGAAGCGUCUUCCUCGUUGAUUUUGGAUGAGAGGACUAUGGAAUCACAAAAGAAGCAGAGGACUGCAGCGUGGGCAGUUUCUCCUAACCAUGGGAUUGUU
rnacentral:misc_RNA from 1 species